UCCUGCAUUCGAAAGUGAUUGUGGCCUUUUGCCUGUGGCCUGGUCAUUGAUAGUGCAGGUAGAGAAUUCCUGAAAGCAUUUCCCGUGUUUGGGGGGCUUGUACCUUUUCCUUCCAAACCCUGAGCUUUUCAAACA
rnacentral:snoRNA from 1 species